GUCCUAGCCGUAAACGAUGGGCACUGGGUAGGGGGAAGCCUAUGCUCUUCCCUGCCGAAGCAAAUGUAUUAAGUGCCCCGCCUGGGGAGUACGCUCGCAAGGGUAAAACUCAAAGGAAUUGACGGGGGCUCACACAAGCGGUGGAGCAUGUGGUUUAAUUCGAAGCAACGCGAAGAACCUUACCUGGCCUUGACAUCCAUGGAUUAGUUCCACGAAAGUGGGAGUACUGCUCUUCGGAGCCGGAACAUGGACAGGUGUUGCAUGGCUGUCGU
rnacentral:rRNA from 1 species